rnacentral:misc_RNA from 1 species
AAGAUUCGACCUUCGGGUCUAUCUUAUCUUCAGCUGUGCGCUUCGGCUGCACGCUGUUGAAUUUCACACACCUGUGCACACUUCGGUUGCAGUUGGUUAAUUCUGGCUGCUACCGCUUUUACAUUUAACUACAAAGUCUAGAAUGUCUAAUACUAUAAACAUAA